CUAAAGGCAGAGAAGGACAGAAGUAAGAAGGGAAGCCCGGAUUUUCAGAGAGUCGGUGGGUGGUGCAAACCGAUAGCGGAUCCUUUUUGAAUUACAGUCCGGAGCCGUCCGGGGGAACGGAAUGGACCUGAAGGCCCAAGUCCCAGUAGUCCGGCACCGGGUACGUCAAGCGCCCGUUAUUUCAAUCGAGCGAAGGCUUGGAAUCGUCACGAUACAGUCAAUGACGGUUAGAGCUUUAACUAGGGUGGUACCGCGAGUCUCUUUCUCGUCCCUUGG
rnacentral:ncRNA from 1 species